rnacentral:rRNA from 1 species
ACGGAGGGUGCAAGCGUUGCUCGGAAUUAUUGGGCGUAAAGGGCAGGUAGGUGGUCUUAUUUGUCUUGUGUGAAAGCCUUGGGCUUAACUCAAGAAGUGCGCAAGAAACGGUAAGACUAGAGUCCUAGAGAGGCUAGUGGAAUUCCCGGUGUAGCGGUGAAAUGCGUAGAGAUCGGGAGGAACACCAGAGGCGAAGGCGGCUAGCUGGAUAGGCACUGACACUCAACUGCGAAAGCGUGGGGAGCAAACAGGA